UACAGAGGGUGCAAGCGUUAAUCGGAAUUACUGGGCGUAAAGCGUGCGCAGGCGGUGAUGUAAGACAGUUGUGAAAUCCCCGGGCUCAACCUGGGAACUGCAUCUGUGACUGCAUCGCUGGAGUACGGUAGAGGGGGAUGGAAUUCCGCGUGUAGCAGUGAAAUGCGUAGAUAUGCGGAGGAACACCGAUGGCGAAGGCAAUCCCCUGGACCUGUACUGACGCUCAUGCACGAAAGGCGUGGGGAGCAAACAGG
rnacentral:rRNA from 1 species